AAACUAAGGGAUCCGAAAGGAUCGGUAGAGGAGCAUUGCAUGCGGGAUGAAGCAGUACCGUAAGGAGCUGUGGACUGCAUGGAAGAGAGAAUGCCGGAAUGAGUAGCGAGAUAGAGGUGAGAAUCCUCUAGGCCGAAUAUCCAAGGUUUCCAGGGUAAAGCUGAUCUGCCCUGGGUAAGUCGGGGCCUAAGGUGAGGACGAGAGUCGUAGCCGAUGGACAACAGGUGGAGAUUCCUGUACUAUGAUAUGACAGAACUGUGGGGACACGUGCAGAGAGCGGAAGCCGGGAAUGGGAUCCCGGUGCAAGCGAGGUACCAGUCACAUUGGAAAAACCGUGUGGCAAUGGGAAGACGUGAUGCGGAGUGAAGUUUAGUAAUGAAGUCCGUGAGCUGUGCGUCAAGAAAAGCCGCUAUUGUUCAUACCAUACCCGUACCGUAAACCGACACAGGUGGAUGAGGAGAGAAUCCUAAGGCCGGCGGAAGAAGCAUUGUCAAGGAACUCGGCAAAAUGACCCCGUAACUUCGGGAGAAGGGGUGCCUGUGAGAGCAGGCCGCAGAGAAUAGGCUCAAGCAACUGUUUAGCAAAAACACAGGUCUAUGCGAAACCGAAAGGUGAGGUAUAUGGGCUGACGCCUGCCCGGUGCUGGAAGGUUAAGAGGAGAGGUUAGCGCAAGCGAAGCUUUGAAUUUAAGCCCCAGUAAACGGCGGCCGUAACAAUAACGGUCCUAAGGUAGCGAAAUUCCUUGUCGGGUAAGUUCCGACCCGCACGAAAGGCGUAAUGAUUUGAGCGCUGUCUCGACAAUGCAUCCGGUGAAAUUGAAGUACCAGUGAAGAUGCUGGUUACCUGCGCCAGGACGGAAAGACCCCAUGGAGCUUUACUCCAGUUUGGUACUGGGAUCCGGUACUGCAUGUACAGGAUAGGUGGGAGGCUGAGAAUCGGUAACGCCAGUUGCCGAGGAGCCGCUGUUGGGAUACCACCCUUGCAGUAUUGGGUUUCUAACCAGCCGCCGUGACCCGGCGGUGGGACAAUGCCAGACGGGGAGUUUGACUGGGGCGGUCGCCUCCGAAAGGGUAUCGGAGGCGCCCAAAGGUUCCCUCAGGAUGGACGGAAACCAUCCAAAGAGUGCAAAGGCAGAAGGGAGCUUGACUGCGACACCGACGGGUGGAGCAGGUACGAAAGUAGGGCUUAGUGAUCCGGUGGUAUUAAGUGGGAAUGCCAUCGCUCAACGGAUAAAAGCUACCCUGGGAUAACAGGCUUAUCACUCCCAAGAGUUCACAUCGACGGAGUGGUUUGGCACCUCGAUGUCGGCUCAUCGCAUCCUGGGGCUGUAGUAGGUCCCAAGGGUUGGGCUGUUCGCCCAUUAAAGCGGUACGCGAGCUGGGUUCAGAACGUCGUGAGACAGUUCGGUCCCUAUCCGGCGUGGGCGUAGGAUAUCUGAGAGGAGCUGUCCUUAGUACGAGAGGACCGGGAUGGACGGGCCGCUGGUGCACCGGUUAGACUGCCAAGUCUAUAGCCGGGUAGCCAAGCCCGGAAGGGAUAAACGCUGAAGGCAUCUAAGCGUGAAGCCCCCCUCAAGAUGAGAUAUCCCAUCCGAAAGGAGUAAACCCCCUUGAAGACGACGAGGUCGAUAGGGCAGAGGUGGAAGUGUGGUAACACAUGGAGCUGACUGCUACUAAUAGGGUGAGGGCUUGAUC
rnacentral:rRNA from 1 species